GAUGAACGCUGGCGGCGUGCCUAAUACAUGCAAGUCGAGCGAACAGACGAGGAUCUUGCUCCUCUGACGUUAGCGUCGGACGGGGGAGUAACACGUGGAUAACCUACCUAUAAGACUGGGAUAACUUCGGGAAACCGGAGCUAAUACCGGAUUAUAUAUUGAACCGCAUGGUUCAAUAGUGAAAGACGGUUUUGCUGUCACUUAUAGAUGGAUCCGCGCCGCAUUAGCUAGUUGGUAAGGUAACGGCUUACCAAGGCGACGAUGCGUAGCCGACCUGAGAGGGUGAUCGGCGACACUGGAACUGAGACACGGUCCAGACUCCUACGGGAGGCAGCAGUAGGGAAUCGUCCGAAAUGGGCGAAAGCCUGACGGAGCAACGCCGCGUGAGUGAUGAAGGUCUUCGGAUCGUAAAACUCUGUUAUUAGGGAAGAACAAAUGUGUAAGUAACUAUGCACGUCUUGACGGUACCUAAUCAGAAAGCCACGGCUAACUACGUG
rnacentral:rRNA from 1 species